rnacentral:rRNA from 1 species
GGGUUGUGAGGUUAAGCGACUAAGCGUACACGGUGGAUGCCCUGGCAGUCAGAGGCGAUGAAGGACGUGCUAAUCUGCGAUAAGCGUCGGUAAGGUGAUAUGAACCGUUAUAACCGGCGAUUUCCGAAUGGGGAAACCCAGUGUGUUUCGACACACUAUCAUUAACUGAAUCCAUAGGUUAAUGAGGCGAACCGGGGGAACUGAAACAUCUAAGUACCCCGAGGAAAAGAAAUCAACCGAGAUUCCCCCAGUAGCGGCGAGCGAACGGGGAGCAGCCCAGAGCCUGAAUCAGUGUGUGUGUUAGUGGAAGCGUCUGGAAAGGCGCGCGAUACAGGGUGACAGCCCCGUACACAAAAAUGCACAUACUGUGAGCUCGAUGAGUAGGGCGGGACACGUGGUAUCCUGUCUGAAUAUGGGGGGACCAUCCUCCAAGGCUAAAUACUCCUGACUGACCGAUAGUGAACCAGUACCGUGAGGGAAAGGCGAAAAGAACCCCGGCGAGGGGAGUGAAAAAGAACCUGAAACCGUGUACGUACAAGCAGUGGGAGCACGCUUCGGCGUGUGACUGCGUACCUUUUGUAUAAUGGGUCAGCGACUUAUAUUCUGUAGCAAGGUUAACCGAAUAGGGGAGCCGAAGGGAAACCGAGUCUUAACUGGGCGUUAAGUUGCAGGGUAUAGACCCGAAACCCGGUGAUCUAGCCAUGGGCAGGUUGAAGGUUGGGUAACACUAACUGGAGGACCGAACCGACUAAUGUUGAAAAAUUAGCGGAUGACUUGUGGCUGGGGGUGAAAGGCCAAUCAAACCGGGAGAUAGCUGGUUCUCCCCGAAAGCUAUUUAGGUAGCGCCUCGUGAAUUCAUCUCCGGGGGUAGAGCACUGUUUCGGCAAGGGGGUCAUCCCGACUUACCAACCCGAUGCAAACUGCGAAUACCGGAGAAUGUUAUCACGGGAGACACACGGCGGGUGCUAACGUCCGUCGUGAAGAGGGAAACAACCCAGACCGCCAGCUAAGGUCCCAAAGUCAUGGUUAAGUGGGAAACGAUGUGGGAAGGCCCAGACAGCCAGGAUGUUGGCUUAGAAGCAGCCAUCAUUUAAAGAAAGCGUAAUAGCUCACUGGUCGAGUCGGCCUGCGCGGAAGAUGUAACGGGGCUAAACCAUGCACCGAAGCUGCGGCAGCGACACUAUGUGUUGUUGGGUAGGGGAGCGUUCUGUAAGCCUGUGAAGGUGUGCUGUGAGGCAUGCUGGAGGUAUCAGAAGUGCGAAUGCUGACAUAAGUAACGAUAAAGCGGGUGAAAAGCCCGCUCGCCGGAAGACCAAGGGUUCCUGUCCAACGUUAAUCGGGGCAGGGUGAGUCGACCCCUAAGGCGAGGCCGAAAGGCGUAGUCGAUGGGAAACAGGUUAAUAUUCCUGUACUUGGUGUUACUGCGAAGGGGGGACGGAGAAGGCUAUGUUGGCCGGGCGACGGUUGUCCCGGUUUAAGCGUGUAGGCUGGUUUUCCAGGCAAAUCCGGAAAAUCAAGGCUGAGGCGUGAUGACGAGGCACUACGGUGCUGAAGCAACAAAUGCCCUGCUUCCAGGAAAAGCCUCUAAGCAUCAGGUAACAUUAAAUCGUACCCCAAACCGACACAGGUGGUCAGGUAGAGAAUACCAAGGCGCUUGAGAGAACUCGGGUGAAGGAACUAGGCAAAAUGGUGCCGUAACUUCGGGAGAAGGCACGCUGAUAUGUAGGUGAAGUCCCUCGCGGAUGGAGCUGAAAUCAGUCGAAGAUACCAGCUGGCUGCAACUGUUUAUUAAAAACACAGCACUGUGCAAACACGAAAGUGGACGUAUACGGUGUGACGCCUGCCCGGUGCCGGAAGGUUAAUUGAUGGGGUUAGCGGUAACGCGAAGCUCUUGAUCGAAGCCCCGGUAAACGGCGGCCGUAACUAUAACGGUCCUAAGGUAGCGAAAUUCCUUGUCGGGUAAGUUCCGACCUGCACGAAUGGCGUAAUGAUGGCCAGGCUGUCUCCACCCGAGACUCAGUGAAAUUGAACUCGCUGUGAAGAUGCAGUGUACCCGCGGCAAGACGGAAAGACCCCGUGAACCUUUACUAUAGCUUGACACUGAACAUUGAGCCUUGAUGUGUAGGAUAGGUGGGAGGCUUUGAAGUGUGGACGCCAGUCUGCAUGGAGCCGACCUUGAAAUACCACCCUUUA